CAGCCGCCGCGGUAAUACGGAGGGUGCAAGCGUUAAUCGGAAUUACUGGGCGCAAAGCGCACGCAGGCGGUUUGUUAAGUCAGAUGUGAAAUCCCCGAGCUUAACUUGGGAACUGCAUUUGAAACUGGCAAGCUAGAGUCUUGUAGAGGGGGGUAGAAUUCCAGGUGUAGCGGUGAAAUGCGUAGAGAUCUGGAGGAAUACCGGUGGCGAAGGCGGCCCCCUGGACAAAGACUGACGCUCAGGUGCGAAAGCGUGGGGAGCAAACAGGAUUAGAUACCCGAGUAGUCCCUGUCUCUUAUAC
rnacentral:rRNA from 1 species